AUUUCCCAGAGGAGUGCUAGCCCACACACUAUAUUUGAUGCUUUUGUGAACAUUAUCUUCACUGAAGGAUUUGAUGACAAAGAACUUGGCAUGCUCAUAAUCAGUGACAAAUUCAGGCCGAUUAUACUGCUCAGGCUGAAAAGUAUUAGUUGACUCAACUUCUUUAUGGAUCACAGAUGAAGAGGGCCGAUUAUACUGCUCAGGCUGCAAAGUAUUAGUUGACUCAACUUCUUUAUGGAUCACAGAUGAAGAGCUAUCCUCAAUGGGACCCUUGCUCUUUGGUUUUAAUGCCCUUGGUCCUCGGUUUCGUUCACUUGCCAUACCAAGUGAUUCAGUAGAAAUG
rnacentral:lncRNA from 1 species